rnacentral:rRNA from 1 species
UCUGUUUCCUCGGCGAGCUUGCUCGCCAAUGGGGACCAACCUAAACACUUUUGUAGUUGUAGUUGUACUGUCAGUAAACAAACCUUUAAAACUUUCAACAACGGAUCUCUUGGUUCUGGCAUCGAUGAAGAACGCAGCGAAAUGCGAUAAGUAGUGUGAAUUGCAGAAUUCAGUGAAUCAUCGAAUCUUUGAACGCACAUUGCGCCCUUUGGUAUUCCUUAGGGCAUGCCUGUUCGAGCGUCAUUUAAACCCUCAAGCUCUGCUUGGUGUUGGGCGCCUGUCCCGCCUCUGGCGUGGACUCGCCUCGAAGAUAUUGGCGGUUGUUGCAUUGACCGGAUGCGCAGUAAAAACGCGCUGGUACUGGCUUGAUGCCUUCCUCCAGGAAGCUAAACCUCUCAUCUUGACCUCGGAUCAGGU